GGGGGGGGGGGGGGGGGGUCC
rnacentral:miRNA from 1 species